rnacentral:rRNA from 1 species
UACGUAGGCAGCGAGCGUUGUUCGGAAUUAUUGGGCGUAAAGGGUGCGUAGGCGGUUUGGUAAGUCUGAUGUGAAAUCUAUGGGCUCAACUCAUAGUCUGCAUCGGAAACUGCCGGGCUUGAGUGUGGGGAGAGGUGAGUGGAAUUCCUGGUGUAGCGGUGAAAUGCGUAGAUAUCAGGAGGAACACCGGUGGUGUAAACGGCUUUCUGGACCAUAACUGACGCUGGAGGCACGAAAGCGUCGGGUAGCAAACAGG